rnacentral:tRNA from 1 species
UCCGGUGUGGUCUAAUGGCUAGGAUACCUGGCUCUCACCCAGGAGGCCCGGGUUCGAUUUCCGGUACCGGAA